rnacentral:rRNA from 2 species
GACCCCGCGUGAGUGAUGAAGGCUUUCGGGUCGUAAAAUUCUGUUGUUAGGGAAGAACAAGUACGAGAGUAACUGCUCGUACCUUGACGGUACCUAACCAGAAAGCCACGGCUAACUACGUGCCAGCAGCCGCGGUAAUACGUAGGUGGCAAGCGUUAUCCGGAAUUAUUGGGCGUAAAGCGCGCGCAGGCGGUUUCUUAAGUCUGAUGUGAAAGCCCACGGCUCAACCGUGGAAGGUCAUUGGAAACUGGGGAACUUGAGUGCAGAAGAGAAAAGCGGAAUUCCCCGUGUAGCGGUGAAAUGCGUAGAGAUGUGGAGGAACACCGGUGGCGAACGCGGCUUUUUGGUCUGUAACUGACGCUGAAGCGCGAAAGCGUGGGGAGCAACCAGGAUUAGAUACCCUGGUAGUCCACGCCGUAAACGAUGAGUGCUAAGUGUUAGAGGGUUUCCGCCCUUUAGUGCUGCAGCUAACGCAUUAAGCACUCCGCCUGGGGAGUACGGUCGCAAGACUGAAACUCAAAGGAAUUGACGGGGGCCCGCCCUAU